rnacentral:misc_RNA from 1 species
UCCUGGUUAACCCAGGCAGUCUUGUUAGAGUUCCCGACCGAAUCGUUGGCAACUAACAAUAAGGGUUGCGCUCGUUGCGGGACUUAACCCAACACCUCACGGCACGAGCUGACGACAGCCAUGCAGCACCUAUAUAGAGGUCCUUUCGGAAAGCACCCUUUCGGGUGAUGUCCUCUACAUUUCGAGCCUGGGUAAGGUUCUUCGCGUUGCAUCGAAUUAAACCACAUGCUCCACUGCUUGUGCGGGCCCCCGUCAAUUCUUUUGAGUUUCACCCUUGCGGGCGUACUUCCCAGGCGGCAUACUUAACGCGUUAGCUCCGACACAGCCAGGGUUGAAUCUGACUACGCCUAGUAUGCAUCGUUUACAGCGUGGACUAC